rnacentral:snRNA from 1 species
AAGGGUGUUGGUCGAUUA